UGUGGCAGAUGAAACGGAUGGAGAAGCCGGUGAGGGGCUGCGGCCGUACACACAAACAGACAAGCAAACCAUUGACAUGCAGAUCACUUGGCAGGGAGCUCCAGAAAUGGAGUCUGACUGGGCGUUUGAUCAGGGUCGAAACGUUGCUAAUAAAUAUGCAGCUCUUCAAACGCAGAAAUAUAACAACUGUAUAAGUUUUUGUCCACAAUUGAGUCGUGGUUGAGUCUUCACGGUUAAAUUUUCUUCAUUUUACACCCUACGACCAGUCUAAACUAAUUUAAUUUGACAUAUUACAUAAGGAAAGUUUCAAACGUCGUUAUUUCAGUUACCACACAACUUCUUGAGGCUGUUACUAUAGCAACAGUAACGUUAGUUCGCGAGCGAGCGGUUAGGAGGAUUGGUACGGGUCGGGAUAGAACAAAGUCGAAAGAUUACCACACAAGACAAGACCCCUCGUGAUGCUAACAACAAUUUGCGAAGGAUCGGUAACGUUACAGUUGAAAAAGUAACAACCAGCUUUUCUUACGAGGUGGAACAAAAUAGCUGUGAAACAGAGGAAUCCGGAUAAACCAGGAGAACUACAGGUGUGUCAGAGUGAGAGAUGAGAGAAACCUGUCAUGAUGUGUAACCGCAGACUGCCUCAAAACAGAAUAUUUACACUGAAGAUUAGGUCCAAUGCAAUCUCUACUUUAAAGGGUUAGUUCACCCAAAAAUUAAAA